GCCUAAAGCGUCCGUAGCCGGCUCUGUAAGUUUUCGGUUAAAUCCAUAUGCUCAACAUAUGGGCCGCCGGGAAUACUGCAUAGCUAGGGAGUGGGAGAGGUAGACGGUACUCCGUAGGAAGGGGUAAAAUCCUUUGAUCUAUGGAUGACCACCUGUGGCGAAGGCGGUCUACCAGAACACGUUCGACGGUGAGGGAUGAAAGCUGGGGGAGCAAACCGGAUUAGAUACCCGGGUAGUCCCAGCUGUAAACUAUGCAAACUCAGUGAUGCAUUGGCUUGCGGCCAGUGCAGUGCCGCAGAGAAGUCGUUAAGUUUGCCGCCUGGGAAGUACGUACGCAAGUAUGAAACUUAAAGGAAUUGGCGGGGGAGCACCACAAGGGGUGAAGCCUGCGGUUUAAUUGGAGUCAACGCCAGAAAUCUUACCCGGAGAGACAGCAGGAUGAAGGUCAAGCUGAAGACUUUACCAGACAAGCUGAGAAGUGGUGCAUGGCCGUCGCCAGCUCGUGCCGUGAGGUGUCCUGUUAAGUCAGGUAACGAGCGAGAUCCUUGCCUCUAGUUGCCACCAUUACUCUCAGGAGUAGUGGGGCGAAUUAGCGGGACUGCCGUAGUUAAUACGGAGGAAGGAGAGGGCCACGGCAGGUCAGUAUGCCCCGAA
rnacentral:rRNA from 1 species